UACGAAGGGAGCUAGCGUUGUUCGGAAUCACUGGGCGUAAAGCGCACGUAGGCGGAUGUGUCAGUCAGGGGUGAAAUCCCGGAGCUCAACUUCGGAACUGCCUUUGAUACAGCACGUCUUGAGUCCGAUAGAGGUGGGUGGAAUUCCUAGUGUAGAGGUGAAAUUCGUAGAUAUUAGGAAGAACACCGGUGGCGAAGGCGGCAUCCUGGACCAUUACUGACACUGAACCGCGAAAGCUAGGGGAGCAAACGGG
rnacentral:rRNA from 1 species